rnacentral:rRNA from 1 species
UACGAGAGGCCCAAACGUUAUUCGGAUUUAUUGGGCGUAAAAGGCUUGUAGGUGGCCACGCCAAGUCGGAUGUGAAAUCUCCCGGCUCAACUGGGAGGGGUCAUUCGAUACUGGCGGGCUCGAGGCCGGUAGGGGGAAGUGGAAUUCCCGGUGUAGUGGUGGAAUGCGUAGAUAUCGGGAGGAACACCAGUGGCGAAGGCGGCUUCCUGGACCGGUUCUGACACUGAGGCGCGAAAGCGUGGGGAGCAAACAGG